AUCUACUUUCCUUCCUUGUCAGUGGUCUAGUCGUCAUCUUAACACAGAGACAAGUGCACACGGGUUCGACGCUCCGCAAAAUUACAGGUUUCCAAGAAUUCUACGUACCGACAGACGAAACAUCCCGGCUUUCUUUUUCUACAUAUACUUUGUCCUUCGUCCUAUGUAUAAGCUCAAAUAAAAAAAGAAUCAUCCUCUUCAUCGUUACGGGCAGGAUGUUGCUCAUCAUGCAAAGAACCAGUUAACAUUCGGUUCAAAUAAAAAAAAGAAUCAUCCUUUUCAUCAUCCUGGGGUAGGAUGCCCAUCCUGCAAGCAUCAACGAAGAUUUUAAAACAUCAUGGCAACCGUGCGCGAAGCAAUGAAUGAAUCGAGUGUUGUAUCGCUAAAAUAAAAACAAAAGAAUCGCGAAAUAGAAGCAGUGCUUGCUCGUUUGUUUAAAUUAUACCGCGUUUCGCGAUUUAAAUUAAUUUUAAGUGUUUUUGUGUUGACUGCGUGCAAUGCAGUCAGUUAUAGAGUCAGUGUUUGCUCGUACAAAGUGAGUUUAAUAGUCAUGUAGACUGUACUUAUGAAAGAUAGCAGAGUUUCGCGAAGUAAAUUCAGUGACCGUUCGUUAAUAAAUAUCUAUCGCGAAUUAGAGUCAGUGCAUCACUGAAGAGGAUCUUGACCAACUUCGGUGUCUACCUACCUCAUUUUCAACCAGCUACAUAUCAUCCAACCUCAAUGUCAACCUAAAUCGCGGACGAGUGUUUUGGAGCCACCGUAGAACUUCUUAAGUAGUAAGUGAACAAAUUUUAAGUCCCUCCAGUACUCAAUCAUGUCGAAGACGAAAGGUCCGAAUCGGCACGAGUUACUGGUUGUAAUUUUUUAAAUAAAUUAUUGACAAGCAUGACCGUGAGUAACUCCUCUUUUGGACUUACUCGCGAGUGGUAUAUUUUUAAUCGCCGAUGUGUUUUCAUUGCUUAUAUCUAUUUUAUUAGUUUAGGAUAGGGUCUUCUUGUUUCAUAGAUUGAAUUAAUUAAUAGUUCAAUUAAUAAGCACUUUUUUAUUUGUAUUUGCUCGCGAUAUUAGCAGUGAAAUUGGAUAUCAAUUUUUUCGAUUUCGUCAAAAAAGCAUGUAAUAUACGUUUUAUGCAUUGCUUCGUACUUGGUCUAUUUAAUCGCGAUUUAUCUCGAUGUAUCGAUGUAGAUGAACAAGAAAAAACGAACAGAAGACAAGCGCGACAGAUAGAUUCUGGAAAAUGAACAGUAGUUCAUGAUUUAACUUUUUAAUUAGAACAGCCACUUAGAAGGAAUUGUCCGAGGUUUUUUGAUUAUUCUUUCAUACAAAAUUAAAUAAAUAUUUAAUUAAUUUUUUUGAUAAAAGAAGUCUCAAUAAAGUCAUUGUUUUUGAAAGAAAAAAGUCGAGUAGAAUCAUUGCUAAUAAAAAACAAAGAGACUUGUAGAUUCAUAGCCCGUAGGAUCUAGAAUAGGUUAAUAAAUUUUUAGAUCAGGGUUUUCAGCUUUUAACAAACUAAUUCCUGUUUCUUCCUCCCCUCCCCCCAUGUUUUCUGCAUUCUCCUCAAUGCGUGUUCCCAGGUGUUACUCGUAUGAGUGAGAAAUUGUUAGUAUGGGUUUAAUUUUAAGUUUUCCUAUAUUGGUGACUGUCAUAGCGUUAGUGAUUGCGCACGAUAUACCUUGCAUCUGUGUGUUCGUGGUAGGUGGUGCAUUGUAUAUCGUUUCGUGAUUAUUUAUAAAUAAAUACGAAUAAAACAAAUAUACUAAUAGAUUAUUAUUUAAAAUACUAUACUAAUAUAUUACAAUUCAUAUCGUUUUGCAUAGUAAAGUCAGCAUAUAUUGUAAGUGAAUUGAAAUCAUAUAUUCAAUGAAAUUAUUCAAUAUCAAUAUAGUGAAUGAAAGCAUAUAUUGAAAGGGAAAUAUUCGUAAGUGAACGUCAGAAAAAUGAAAUUUCGAACGAAACACACCUCAGCGGAAGAACGAAACACACCUAAGGCCCACACCCGAGGGCCCCUCCCAAGGGUCCCACCCGAUAGAAGAUAGAGUACUUGAUCAACAAUUUAACCAAAAAUUAAAAAUAAUUAUUUUAAGUAUAAUAUGCAGCCAUUCGCCCGGUAGUACUUGCGCUAUAUAAUUAUUUAAAUUUCUAUAUAUAAUUUAGUUAUAAACUUUUGAUGUAAUUUAGAUACAAUUUCAAUAUAUUGCAAGUACUACCGACCCAGGUCCCACCGCUUGGAGGUUGCUACAUCUGGGGACCCACGGGCUAACGGUGACUCUACUCUAAAGUUCGCGUGACCGGCGUGAUCAAAUAAUCGACGUUCCAUAAAACGAAGUCCCCAGUAGGACUUUUAAUCGCGCCCGAACACUCCCGGGAGUGUUAGAAGAACGGUGACUCUACUUUAAAUUCGCGUUCGCGGCGUUCUAUGCACUAACCAAGAAAUCAGGCGGCUAACUGAAGGAGGAUCAGCCCACUCUUACGGAUAGCAAACCACACUACUCGGCAGCACAUAAACCGACUCACUAGCACGACCGGUCAUUUAUUCGUUUUUAGCAAUCAAACGUAGUCCAUGUCGGUAGGACUUUUAAUCGCGCCCGAACACUCCCGGGAGUGUUAGAAGAACGGUGACUCUACUUUAAAUUCGCGUUCGCGGCGUUCUAUGCACUAACCAAGAAAUCAGGCGGCUAACUGGCGGAGGAUCAGUCCACUCUUACGGAUAGCAAACCACACUACUCGGCAGCACAUAAACCGACUCACUAGCACGACCGGUCAUUUAUUCGUUUUUAGCAACCAAACGUAGUCCAUGUCGGUAGGACUUUUAAUCGCGCCCGAACACUCCCGGGAGUGUUAGAAGAACGGUGACUCUACUUUAAAUUCGCGUUCGCGGCGUUCUAUGCACUAACCAAGAAAUCAGGCGGCUAACUGGCGGAGGAUCAGUCCACUCUUACGGAUAGCAAACCACACUACUCGGCAGCACAUAAACCGAUUCACUAGCACGACCGGUCAUUUAUUCGUUUUAAGCAACCAAACGUAGUCCAUGUCGGUAGGACUUUUAAUCGCGCCCGAACACUCCCGGGAGUGUUAAAAGAACGGUGACUCUACUUUAAAUUCGCGUUCGCGGCGUUCUAUGCACCAACCAAGAAAUCAGGCGGCUAACUGGCGGAGGAUCAGUCCACUCUUACGGAUAGCAAACCACACUACUCGGCAGCACAUAAACCGACUCACUAGCACGACCGGUCAUUUAUUCGUUUUUAGCAAUCAAACGUAGUCCAUGUCGGUAGGACUUUUAAUCGCGCCCGAACACUCCCGGGAGUGUUAGAAGAACGGUGACUCUACUUUAAAUUCGCGUUCGCGGCGUUCUAUGCACUAACCAAGAAAUCAGGCGGCUAACUGGCGGAGGAUCAGUCCACUCUUACGGAUAGCAAACCACACUACUCGGCAGCACAUAAACCGACUCACUAGCACGACCGGUCAUUUAUUCGUUUUUAGCAAUCAAACGUAGUCCAUGUCGGUAGGACUUUUAAUCGCGCCCGAACACUCCCGGGAGUGUUAGAAGAACGGUGACUCUACUUUAAAUUCGCGUUCGCGGCGUUCUAUGCACUAAUCAAGAAAUCAGGCGGCUAACUGGCGGAGGGUGAGUCCACUCUUACGGAUAGCAAACCACAGUACUCGGCAGCACAUAAACCGACUCACUAGCACGACCGGUCAUUUAUUCGUUUUUAGCAAUCAAACGUAGUCCAUGUCGGUAGGACUUUUAAUCGCGCCCGAACACUCCCGGGAGUGUUAAAAGAACGGUGACUCUACUUUAAAUUCGCGUUCGUGGCGUUCUAUGCACUAAUCAAGAAAUCAGGCGGCUAACUGGCGGAGGGUGAGUCCACUCUUACGGAUAGCAAACCACAGUACUCGGCAGCACAUAAACCGACUCACUAGCACGACCGGUCAGUUAUUCGUUUUUAGCAAUCAAACGUAGUCCAUGUCGGUAGGACUUUUAAUCGCGCCCGAACACUCCCGGGAGUGUUAGAAGAACGGUGACUCUACUUUAAAUUCGCGUUCGCGGCGUUCUAUGGACUAACCAAGAAAUCAGGCGGCUAACUGGCGGAGGAUCAGUCCACUCUUACGGAUAGCAAACCACACUACUCGGCAGCACAUAAACCGACUCACUAGCACGACCGGUCAUUUAUUCGUUUUUAGCAAUCAAACGUAGUCCAUGUCGGUAGGACUUUUAAUCGCGCCCGAACACUCCCGGGAGUGUUAGAAGAACGGUGACUCUACUUUAAAUUCGCGUUCGCGGCGUUCUAUGCACCAACCAAGAAAUCAGGCGGCUAACUGGCGGAGGAUCAGUCCACUCUUACGGAUAGCAAACCACACUACUCGGCAGCACAUAAACCGACUCACUAGCACGACCGGUCAUUUAUUCGUUUUUAGCAAUCAAACGUAGUCCAUGUCGGCAGGACUUUUAAUCGCGCCCGAACACUCCCGGGAGUGUUAGAAGAACGGUGACUCUACUUUAAAUUCGCGUUCGCGGCGUUCUAUGCACCAACCAAGAAAUCAGGCGGCUAACUGGCGGAGGAUCAGUCCACUCUUACGGAUAGCAAACCACACUACUCGGCAGCACAUAAACCGACUCACUAGCACGACCGGUCAUUUAUUCGUUUUUAGCAAUCAAACGUAGUCCAUGUCGGCAGGACUUUUAAUCGCGCCCGAACACUCCCGGGAGUGUUAGAAGAACGGUGACUCUACUUUAAAUUCGCGUUCGCGGCGUUCUAUGCACUAACCAAGAAAUCAGGCGGCUAAUUGGAGGAGGCUGAGUCCACUCUUACGGAUAGCAAACCACACUACUCGGCAGCACAUAAACCGACUCACUAGCACGACCGGUCAUUUAUUCGUUUUUGCAAUCAAACGUAGUCCAUAUCGGUAGGACUUUUAUUCGCGCCCGAGAACACCACGUCUCUGCCCGCCGACACAGGCGUGAGAGUUCUUCCUAUCUUACCCGUAUUCGCGUCUAGCAAUCGAUUAUGAAACGAACAUUUCGACGAUUUAUGGGAUCACCCUCGCCGAUAUGUCGAAGUCCAUGAACUGGAGGAGAAGCAGAAGAGAAAGAGAAGAAAAGAAAGCCGGGACAUGCGCGCAUGUGAGGGGGAUAGAAUUCGGAAGAGAAAGAAGAAGGCAUAUCCGGAAAGUAACACGUGCACGUGUGAGAACGAUGAAAGGGAAAAGAAAAGAUGGACAUAGAGUGUAGCUACACUUGACCAAAACCGGGGUACGAAAAUCGAGCUCGAUUUUUCGAUACUGAAAGGGGGAUACCCGCACAGAAGCCCACACCCACGAGCCCAACUCAUAGGUCCCACCCGAAAGAAAUUAGAAUAAUGAACCUUGAGUUUUUAUUUCCGAGUAUAGGAAAGAUGUAUGAAACAAUGUAAAAUGCACGAAGUUCGAUGUUUAAUUGGAAUUUCAUAGAAAAGAUUUUGGAAAAAUCUUGAAGAACGCAGCCAUUCGCAAGGUUAUACUUGCAGCCUACAAGAUUUCGACAUAUCACAAGUACUUCCGACCCAGGUUCCACCGCGUGGAGGUUGCUGCUUCUGGAGACCCACGGACUAACGGUGGCUCUACUCUUUACUACUUUUACUACUAUCAAGAAAGCAAAGCAACGAGGCGAUCUCCACUCCCAACGAAUUCCAGAUCUCCAAAUGCUAAAAUUGCAGCCCCAUGCGUCUCCGAAUUUGGGAACCGACUUACGCAUAGCUCAACUAUCCAACAUCGAAAGCUUCGAUCACCAUAUGAGCACAACCGGUCUUGCUUUCGCGACAAACGCCGGAACCCAAAAUUGAAUCUACCGCAGUCACGAUACUUACGCGAGCAUUCCAGAAAUACUCACGCGAAUAUGUUGAAUACAUUAGAGCCAAUUUAGGACUUAAUCGCGCCCGAGAACACCAACGCCUUUGCCAGCCGACGUAAGCGAGUGUUCUUCUAUCUUGCCCGAACGGGAUAAAAGAAAUCCUUCCACGCCUGAGGUAGAAAGAUUCUUUAAACACCCGUAUAAAAAUCUGAGUCCCUCGAUGGUCCUUGGGUGACGCAACGAUUGCUGCACCUGGAAAUAAACGGACUAACGAGGAUUCUAUUCUAAAAUCCACGACCCGAGAUGCUUUUCCGCUUCGGGAGCUUCGAGCUUCUCAGCAAACUGGAGAUGUAUAAAACCCCGCUUACAGAUUGCUCCACCGUCCACACCGUCGGCUUCAGACAUCUCGAGACACGACCGGUCGUGUCUACAUUUCGAUUUCAAAAAUCAAAACGUAGUCCUCGGUAGGACUAAAUCUCGCGAUCGCGAACACCCAUACGCGUGCCGGCCGUCACGCGCGUGAGUGUUUUCCCUAUCAUUCGCGUACAGAAGCAAGGAGAUAUACCUUUUAUGCAUAUAAUAAAGAUUAUAUGCAGAGAGGUUCCUUUAACUUCCGUGUAAAAAUCCCACGACGAUAGGUCCAGCGAUCACCUAACUUGAAACAGAAAAAGGACAACAGAAUAUAUUACAUAUAUUUAAAAGAAUAUAUUUAUAUAUAUAGUAAAAUAUGAGUAAAAAUUAAAAAGAUAACACAAAUUAAAUCUAAAAGCAAAAAUUAAAAAGGUAAUAAAAAAUAAAUAUAAGAGCAGAAAUUAUAUGUAAUAUUAUAUGCAAAAAGACAUUUAUAUUCAAAAAGAUCCCUGUAAUAAUUUAAUUUCACGAUGAUCCAGUCGUCGAUGAUCGCACGUUCGAUGAUCGUUCGUUCGAUGAUCUAACCUGAAACAGAAAAAGAGUAAAAAAAAAGUGGAGAAAAAAAUAAAAAGAAGAAAGGAAAAAAAACGCAGUAGAGAAAAAUAGAAAAAGAAACGUGGAGUAUUUGCGUAAGUGAACGUGAGAAAAAUAGAAUUCCGAACGAUUAUUUUGCAUCUUGAAAAUCAUUUCGGUCGAGGAAGAUCAGAGUACCAUUAUUGAGUUCGAUUUUUCCCUAGUGAAAGAACCAUACCCGCCUAAGGCCCACACCCGAGGGCCCCUCCCAAGGGUCCCACCCGAUAGAAGAUAGAGAACUUGAUCAACAAUUUAACCAAAAAUUAAAAAUAAUUGUUUUAAGCUUAAUAUGCAGCCAUUCGCCCGGUAGUACUUGCGCUAUAUAAUUAUUUAAAUUUCUAUAUAUAAUUUAGUUAUAAACUUUUGAUGUAAUUUAGAUACAAUUUCAAUAUAUUGCAAGUACUACCGACCCAGGUCCCACCGCUUGGAGGUUGCUACAUCUGGGGACCCACGGGCUAACGGUGACUCUACUCUAAAGUUCGCGUGACCGGCGUGAUCAAAUAAUCGACGUUCCAUAAAACGAAGUCCCCGGUAGGACUUUUAAUCGCGCCCGAACACUCCCGGGAGUGUUAGAAGAACGGUGACUCUACUUUAAAUUCGCGUUCGCGGCGUUCUAUGCACUAACCAAGAAAUCAGGCGGCUAACUGAAGGAGGAUCAGCCCACUCUUACGGAUAGCAAACCACACUACUCGGCAGCACAUAAACCGACUCACUAGCACGACGGGUCAUUUAUUCGUUUUUAACAAUAAAACGUAGUCCAUGUCGGUAGGACUUUUAAUCGCGCCCGAACACUCCCGGGAGUGUUAGAAGAACGGUGACUCUACUUUAAAUUCGCGUUCGCGGCGUUCUAUGCACUAACCAAGAAAUCAGGCGGCUAACUGGCGGAGGAUCAGUCCACUCUUACGGAUAGCAAACCACACUACUCGGCAGCACAUAAACCGACUCACUAGCACGACCGGUCAUUUAUUCGUUUUUAGCAAUCAAACGUAGUCCAUGUCGGUAGGACUUUUAAUCGCGCCCGAACACUCCCGGGAGUGUUAGAAGAACGGUGACUCUACUUUAAAUUCGCGUUCGCGGCGUUCUAUGGACUAACCAAGAAAUCAGGCGGCUAACUGGCGGAGGAUCAGUCCACUCUUACGGAUAGCAAACCACACUACUCGGCAGCACAUAAACCGACUCACUAGCACGACCGGUCAUUUAUUCGUUUUUAGCAAUCAAACGUAGUCCAUGUCGGUAGGACUUUUUAAUCGCGCCCGAACACUCCCGGGAGUGUUAGAAGAACGGUGACUCUACUUUAAAUUCGCGUUCGCGGCGUUCUAUGCACUAAUCAAGAAAUCAGGCGGCUAACUGGCGGAGGGUGAGUCCACUCUUACGGAUAGCAAACCACAGUACUCGGCAGCACAUAAACCGACUCACUAGCACGACCGGUCAUUUAUUCGUUUUUAGCAAUCAAACGUAGUCCAUGUCGGUAGGACUUUUAAUCGCGCCCGAACACUCCCGGGAGUGUUAGAAGAACGGUGACUCUACUUUAAAUUCGCGUUCGCGGCGUUCUAUGCACUAAUCAAGAAAUCAGGCGGCUAACUGGCGGAGGGUGAGUCCACUCUUACGGAUAGCAAACCACAGUACUCGGCAGCACAUAAACCGACUCACUAGCACGACCGGUCAUUUAUUCGUUUUUAGCAAUCAAACGUAGUCCAUGUCGGUAGGACUUUUAAUCGCGCCCGAACACUCCCGGGAGUGUUAGAAGAACGGUGACUCUACUUUAAAUUCGCGUUCGCGGCGUUCUAUGCACUAAUCAAGAAAUCAGGCGGCUAACUGGCGGAGGAUCAGUCCACUCUUACGGAUAGCAAACCACACUACUCGGCAGCACAUAAACCGACUCACUAGCACGACCGGUCAUUUAUUCGUUUUUAGCAAUCAAACGUAGUCCAUGUCGGUAGGACUUUUAAUCGCGCCCGAACACUCCCGGGAGUGUUAGAAGAACGGUGACUCUACUUUAAAUUCGCGUUCGCGGCGUUCUAUGCACUAAUCAAGAAAUCAGGCGGCUAACUGGCGGAGGAUCAGUCCACUCUUACGGAUAGCAAACCACACUACUCGGCAGCACAUAAACCGACUCACUAGCACGACCGGUCAUUUAUUCGUUUUUAGCAAUCAAACGUAGUCCAUGUCGGUAGGACUUUUAAUCGCGCCCGAACACUCCCGGGAGUGUUAGAAGAACGGUGACUCUACUUUAAAUUCGCGUUCGCGGCGUUCUAUGCACCAACCAAGAAAUCAGGCGGCUAACUGGCGGAGGAUCAGUCCACUCUUACGGAUAGCAAACCACACUACUCGGCAGCACAUAAACCGACUCACUAGCACGACCGGUCAUUUAUUCGUUUUUAGCAAUCAAACGUAGUCCAUGUCGGUAGGACUUUUAAUCGCGCCCGAACACUCCCGGGAGUGUUAGAAGAACGGUGACUCUACUUUAAAUUCGCGUUCGCGGCGUUCUAUGCACUAACCAAGAAAUCAGGCGGCUAAUUGGAGGAGGCUGAGUCCACUCUUACGGAUAGCAAACCACACUACUCGGCAGCACAUAAACCGACUCACUAGCACGACCGGUCAUUUAUUCGUUUUUGCAAUCAAACGUAGUCCAUAUCGGUAGGACUUUUAUUCGCGCCCGAGAACACCACGUCUCUGCCCGCCGACACAGGCGUGAGAGUUCUUCCUAUCUUACCCGUAUUCGCGUCUAGCAAUCGAUUAUGAAACGAACAUUUCGACGAUUUAUGGGAUCACCCUCGCCGAUAUGUCGAAGUCCAUGAACUGGAGGAGAAGCAGAAGAGAAAGAGAAGAAAAGAAAGCCGGGACAUGCGCGCAUGUGAGGGGGAUAGAAUUCGGAAGAGAAAGAAGAAGGCAUAUCCGGAAAGUAACACGUGCACGUGUGAGAACGAUGAAAGGGAAAAGAAAAGAUGGACAUAGAGUGUAGCUACACUUGACCAAAACCGGGGUACGAAAAUCGAGCUCGAUUUUUCGAUACUGAAAGGGGGAUACCCGCACAGAAGCCCACACCCAUGAGCCCAACUCAUAGGUCCCACCCGAAAGAAAUUAGAAUAAUGAACCUUGAGUUUUUAUUUCCGAGUAUAGGAAAGAUGUAUGAAACAAUGUAAAAUGCACGAAGUUCGAUGUUUAAUUGGAAUUUCAUAGAAAAGAUUUUGGAAAAAUCUUGAAGAACGCAGCCAUUCGCAAGGUUAUACUUGCAGCCUACAAGAUUUCGACAUAUCACAAGUACUUCCGACCCAGGUUCCACCGCGUGGAGGUUGCUGCUUCUGGAGACCCACGGACUAACGGUGGCUCUACUCUUUACUACUUUUACUACUAUCAAGAAAGCAAAGCAACGAGGCGAUCUCCACUCCGAACGAAUUCAAGAUCUCCAAAUGCUAAAAUUGCAGCCCCAUGCGUCUCCGCAUUUGGGAACCGACUUACGCAUAGCUCAACUAUCCAACAUCGAAAGCUUCGAUCACCACUUGAGCACAACCGGUCUUGCUUUCGCGACAAACGCCGGAACCCAAAAUUGAAUCUACCGCAGUCACGAUACUUACGCGAGCAUUCCAGAAACACUCACGCGAAUAUGUUGAAUACAUUAGAGCCAAUUUAGGACUUAAUCGCGACCGAGAACACCAACGCCUUUGCCAGCCGACGUAAGCGAGUGUUCUUCUAUCUUGCCCGAACGGGAUAAAAGAAAUCCUUCCACGCCUGAGGUAGAAAGAUUCUUUAAACACCCGUAUAAAAAUCUGAGUCCCUCGAUGGUCCUUGGGUGACGCAACGAUUGCUGCACCUGGAAAUAAACGGACUAACGAGGAUUCUAUUCUAAAAUCCACGACCCGAGAUGCUUUUCCGCUUCGGGAGCUUCGAGCUUCUCAGCAAACUGGAGAUGUAUAAAACCCCGCUUACAGAUUGCUCCACCGUCCACACCGUCGGCUUCAGACAUCUCGAGACACGACCGGUCGUGUCUACAUUUCGAUUUCAAAAAUCAAAACGUAGUCCUCGGUAGGACUAAAUCUCGCGAUCGCGAACACCCAUACGCGUGCCGGCCGUCACGCGCGUGAGUGUUUUCCCUAUCAUUCGCGUACAGAAGCAAGGAGAUAUACCUUUUAUGCAUAUAAUAAAGAUUAUAUGCAGAGAGGUUCCUUUAACUUCCGUGUAAAAAUCCCACGACGAUAGGUCCAGCGAUCACCUAACUUGAAACAGAAAAAGGACAACAGAAUAUAUUACAUAUAUUUAAAAGAAUAUAUUUAUAUAUAUAGUAAAAUAUGAGUAAAAAUUAAAAAGAUAACACAAAUUAAAUCUAAAAGCAAAAAUUAAAAAGGUAAUAAAAAAUAAAUAUAAGAGCAGAAAUUAUAUGUAAUAUUAUAUGCAAAAAGACAUUUAUAUUCAAAAAGAUCCCUGUAAUAAUUUAAUUUCACGAUGAUCCAGUCGUCGAUGAUCGCACGUUCGAUGAUCGUUCGUUCGAUGAUCUAACCUGAAACAGAAAAAGAGUAAAAAAAAAGUGGAGAAAAAAAUAAAAAGAAGAAAGGAAAAAAAACGCAGUAGAGAAAAAUAGAAAAAGAAACGUGGAGUAUUUGCGUAAGUGAACGUGAGAAAAAUAGAAUUCCGAACGAUUAUUUUGCAUCUUGAAAAUCAUUUCGGUCGAGGAAGAUCAGAGUACCAUUAUUGAGUUCGAUUUUUCCCUAGUGAAAGAACCAUACCCGCCUAAGGCCCACACCCGAGGGCCCCUCCCAAGGGUCCCACCCGAUAGAAGAUAGAGAACUUGAUCAACAAUUUAACCAAAAAUUAAAAAUAAUUGUUUUAAGCUUAAUAUGCAGCCAUUCGCCCGGUAGUACUUGCGCUAUAUAAUUAUUUAAAUUUCUAUAUAUAAUUUAGUUAUAAACUUUUGAUGUAAUUUAGAUACAAUUUCAAUAUAUUGCAAGUACUACCGACCCAGGUCCCACCGCUUGGAGGUUGCUACAUCUGGGGACCCACGGGCUAACGGUGACUCUACUCUAAAGUUCGCGUGACCGGCGUGAUCAAAUAAUCGACGUUCCAUAAAACGAAGUCCCCGGUAGGACUUUUAAUCGCGCCCGAACACUCCCGGGAGUGUUAGAAGAACGGUGACUCUACUUUAAAUUCGCGUUCGCGGCGUUCUAUGCACUAACCAAGAAAUCAGGCGGCUAACUGAAGGAGGAUCAGCCCACUCUUACGGAUAGCAAACCACACUACUCGGCAGCACAUAAACCGACUCACUAGCACGACGGGUCAUUUAUUCGUUUUUAACAAUAAAACGUAGUCCAUGUCGGUAGGACUUUUAAUCGCGCCCGAACACUCCCGGGAGUGUUAGAAGAACGGUGACUCUACUUUAAAUUCGCGUUCGCGGCGUUCUAUGCACUAACCAAGAAAUCAGGCGGCUAACUGGCGGAGGAUCAGUCCACUCUUACGGAUAGCAAACCACACUACUCGGCAGCACAUAAACCGACUCACUAGCACGACCGGUCAUUUAUUCGUUUUUAGCAAUCAAACGUAGUCCAUGUCGGUAGGACUUUUAAUCGCGCCCGAACA